rnacentral:rRNA from 1 species
GUAGGUGGCAAGCGUUGUCCGGAAUUAUUGGGCGUAAAGCGCGCGCAGGCGGUUCUUUAAGUCUGAUGUGAAAGCCCACGGCUCAACCGUGGAGGGUCAUUGGAAACUGGAGAACUUGAGUACAGAAGAGGAAAGCGGAAUUCCACGUGUAGCGGUGAAAUGCGUAGAGAUGUGGAGGAACACCAGUGGCGAAGGCGGCUUUCUGGUCUGUAACUGACGCUGAGGCGCGAAAGCGUGGGGAGCAAACAGGAUUAGAUACCCUGGUAGUCCACGCCGUAAACGAUGAGUGCUAAGUGUCAGGGGGUUUUCCGCCCCUUAGUGCUGCAGCUAACGCAUUAAGCACUCCGCCUGGGAGUACGGCCGCAAGGCUG